rnacentral:misc_RNA from 1 species
UAAUGGUCGAAGGUGCACACAUUCAGGUUCAUUCGAGCAAAAUAUCGAAUAGCUUGGAGACAACCCGACGGCGUCGCUGGAACAUAUUAGCCACAUGUGAAGCGAAUGACUACUUCAAAUCAAAUCUAUUUUGAUCCGACGGUGAUUUAAACUGUAUUUCACCAAUUUUAUGGAGGAAAUUGCGGGAAAUUUGCUUAAGAAUAUCAUCUAGAUGAUCCAUGGAGACAACUGCAGAAAAUUCUAGAAAACAGAAGGCUGCAAAAGAGAGUUGGUGAUGAAUGCUCAACACAUGGGUCAGAGGUUGAAGGAGGCUGAAGGAGGCUGCUCAGACAGGAGAUAUCGACGUGUUGUAUGGUCUAAUCCGGGAGGACGCAUUCGUCUUGGAACGCAUAAAUGAGGUACCUUUCGUUGAUUCUCCAUGAAAUAUAGCUGCAUCAGCAGGGCACAUUGAAUUUGCGAUGGAGUUAGUGAACAUGAAGGCGUUGUUUGCUAGGAAGCUAAACCCAGAUGGCUUUAGCCCCAUGCAUCUGGCUUUGCAACAUGACAAAACCCAGAUGGUGCUCUGGCUCCUAGAUGUGGAUGAAGGUCUAGUCCGAGUCAAAGGAAGAGGAGGUAUGACACCUUUGCAUUAUGCAACAGAACAAGGGAAGACACCAAUUUUGGAAGAAUUCUUUGAAGCUUGCCCUGAAUCCAUUAAAGAUGUGACUUUUCAAGGCGACACUGCGUUGCACACUGCAGUAAAGAACCAUCAGGUAGAAGCUUUUCAGGUGCUAAUGGGAUGGCUUCAAAGGUCUGUCUUUUUAGAUGCUGCGUUUUGGGAAAGAAAACUCCUGAAUUGGAAGAACAAGGAAGGGAACACUGUAUUAAGCAUUGCUGCUUCAAGCAAUCAAAGACAGAUAGUAAAGCAGCUGAUCGAGGCAUUUGUUUAUUCCAACAUAAAGAAUUCGAAUGGUUUGACGGCUAUAGAUAUCCUACAAGGCCAAGCACAAUUCAGCAACAAAGAUUUAAGUAAAUGCAGCGCCUUCCCCCUUGCGGAUUCCUCACAGGUACUGGCCGUGCUGGGAACUUGAAGAGAAAGAUCUCCUUCUGUUAUGCAUGGACAAUACGCUCAGUAUACCCAGUGAAAGACGCAAUGCACUACUCGUAGUUGACGCUUUAAUAGCAACAAUCACGUAUCAGGCAGCAUUGAGUCCACCUGGUGGUGUUUGGACUGCAGACGUCAAUUCCCAUCUCCCAAAUUUUCUUCGUGCUGAUAUCUCUGCUACUAACACCACUCUCAGGGAUACAAAUCCAUUGCGCUAUGUGGGUUCGAGUGUUAUGGGCACGCAUAGCUUUUCGCUAUUCUGGUUUGCAAACACUGCUGUGUUUCUGGUAACAAUCAUACGAAUGAGAGCUGGGGUGUCAAGGGACCAUUUGUGGAUGUUAUUUCCAAGAUCGCUGUUGCUUCCACGAUUUGUGUUGUGGUUGUUUGCUUGCUACUCGUUUUCAAUGUCAAUCAUAUCACGAAGUAAAGCUUGGUCCAAGUUUAAUCUGGUUUUGUUUUUCUUAGUUGCAUUGGCAUAUUUUUUAUUUCUUCUGCUGUGGUUCUUUUUCUGUGGUCGCAGAGCUAUGGGCCUUAACAGCAGAUGGAGGGGAUUUCGCCGAAAUAUACACGAGAGAAGAAUGGUGGCAAUAGAUGUAUCACACUCCAAAACUCUGUAAAAACAAUUCUUGAUUACCGUCUGUCAUCUUUUCAUUUCUUCGAUUUUCCUCUUCUUUAAGGAUGUGUUUGGUAUGGAGAGUUGAAAAAUUAUUGGUGUAAUACUUCAGGAAAUAAUAAUUAAGAGUAAAGAAUUGAGGUUAAGAGUCAUGGCGCAAAAAUUAAAGUGUAUUUGAUCAUUGAUUCUCAAAUAUAGUGCAAGUCUUAAUCUGUGGACAAUAUUUUCUCCAGACCAUCUUCCCUAGUCUGAACAUCCACUAAUUCUCAAUUGAAAAUCAGUGCAUUAGUGAAAUUUACAGUCAACAAUCAUUUGCACAAAGGCCUAAGCUUCAUGGACUUAAAACACAUUGUAGACCUUGUUUGGAGAAAACCAAAACAACAGAAUAAAAAAAGGAUCAAUGUUCGUUGUUACUAUGGAUGUGACGGUGCAUGCUCAGGCUUGUGUGUGUACUCAUAAUCAAGAUGAACAAAGGCACGCUCAAUCUCUGGCAGCAACUCAAGCUUCUCCUGUAGGGAUUCCCCAAUGUCAUGAGCCUCUUCCAAGGGCAUGUUUGCAGGCAGCACAAUGUCAACCUCAACAAAGUAGUGAGAUCCAAA